AUGGAAGGUCCCAGGCCAGGGAUCGAACUGGUGCCACAGCUGCAACUCCAGCCACUGCAGUGACAACAUCAGAUCCUUAACCUGUGGAGCCACGCAAGAACUCCCCUCUGGUGCUUUUUUAAUGAAAGCUUUUUUUUUUUUCUCCCUGUCUUUUUUCUUCUGUAAAACUGCUGGAUUUGAAAUCAACCAUUGUAUAUAAGUGGGGUACAUAUAUUAUUCAUUCAUUCAUGGGUAUUGGUUGUGUUUGCAUGCAUGGUUUGGAUGGCCUUUGUGUAAUUAUUCUCUACUAUUUGAGUCAAUAAUGUCCAUGUUCAGUUGUAAACUAUUUACAGGUAGAAAGCAUAUUCUCUAGCAAGUAGUUUUCAAAAUGAGAGUAUAGAUACAGGCAUAGGUCUGCUAUAUAGAUAUAGAUAUGGGCUUAGGUAUAGAUAUAUAGAUCUAAGUAUAGAUAUAUAGACAUAGGCAUAGGUGUAGAUAUUUAGAUUUAGAUAUGGAUAUAGGCAUAGGUAUAAUACAUAGAUAUAGAUAUAUCCCCUAAGAAGCAGAAAGAAAAUACUGGAGCUUGUAAAUGUUUAUAUACAUGUACAAAAACGCACUUGUAUAUAUUUUAUACAUUCAUUACAUAUAUGUAUGUUCAUAUGCAAAUAUACAUAUAGCACUCAAAAAAAUUAAUAGCACUCUUAAUAGCCCUCUUUUAAAAAUCGUGCACCUAUUUCGAAACCUUCAAGUUUUUUGUUUGUUUUUUGGUGCAGUUUUGUAAGUAUAAUUUCUUGAUGUUGAAAAUGUUUUUCUGCUUGGAGCACAUGAUCACACAGUGGAGAUGCUAUUUACGCCAUCGUGAAGAAACCAUAGCUGAGUGCCGUUUGUUAAGGAACCACUGGUGCUGACAAUGAUGUUCACUUAUUGCCUGCUCUUUGAUACUUUAAAAAAAUUGGGUCCAAUUCUAAUGUGAAUUUGGCUGCAACAAAGGCAGCAAGUCCUCAAAAAGGAGCUCUUUAGUUGAUGGUUAAAAGUCCUGUUUUUUUGUCGGUAAAGGGAUGAUAAAAGGAGGCUGCCCCUUGGGUCAUGUCAUGGAGGUUUAAAAGUCCCUGGGAAGAGAAGAAAGACGACCUCUUAAUAAUUUGAUUGGACACUUACAUGUGGAAUCUAAAAUAUGACACAGAUGGACCUAUCUACAGAACAGAAACAGACUCACAGACGUGGGGAGCACACUUGUGGCUGCCAAGGGAGGGAGUAGGAUGGACUGGGAGUUAGGGAUUCAUAAAUGCAAACUAUUAUGUUUAGAAUGGAGAAGCAAUGAGGUCCUGCUGUACAGCACAGGGAACUAUAUCUAAUCACCUGUGAUAGAACAUGAUGAAAGAUAAUAUGAGAAAAAGAAUGUAUAUCUGUGUAUGACUGGGUCACUUAGCGGUAUAGAGGAAUUCGAAAGAACGUUGUAAAUCAACUCUAAUAAAAAUUAAAAAAAAUAAUUUGAUUGGAAAUCUGGAGUCAGUGUACAAGCACACACGAAAAAGCCUUGAAAAGAACCAACAUAAAAAUAUUAACUGUAUGGUGAGAUUAGAGGUGAUUUCAUUUGUUUCCUUUAAGUACAAAUUCUCGACAAUAAGCAUGUCUUUUUUUAAACCAAAAAAAAAAUGCAAUGUUAAAAUAUGCACGCUAACCUGAACACAAUAAAAUACUUUUAAAUAAGUAUGUCCUCAUGCACACAAAAAGUCUAAACAAAUCGAGGUUGCCAGAAAUCACAAAAGAUGAUUUUAUUCAAAUUAAAGAUGUGAGCAAUUACUGUCUCAUUUUCAGAUAUUCACAGAAUGAAACAGUAGGACCAAUUCACGUUUGUGGAUGAGGGAUGAUGAUAGGAUUGUGUUCUCUGUGUCAGUUGUUUCUCUCUGACCAAGAUGACAAUUUCCAGAAUACCUACUUCUCCAUUUCUCUUGCCUUUUAUUUUUCCAUGGCUGCAAGUUCCUGUAAUUACGGGAAAAAUUCUUUCCUGGAGCAGUGGCUCCGAGAUUAGCCAGUUUGGAGCCAACCUGAAUAUUCCCAGUGGGUGCUAAUAGUCUUCUUUGUAGGAACACAGUUUUCAGGACAGAUUCAGUUCUGCUCUGAGCCUUAAAACAGCUGGAAAAUGCAUGACUGGACAUGCAUUAGAUCUGACAGCAUGUGAAUCCACUGUUAAAUAGUACUUAAUACCUAUCUGAUUUUCUUUUUUUGCAUUUUCAUUUUCUUGUCCUUAAAUAAUCACCACAGUAUGGAAUAGCCGUUAUGAAUUCCUGACGCGCAACUCAAAAUUCUUAAUUCUAAAGAUCCAUGUGAUUGCUUGGACAAACAAAUGACAAAGUUCAAGAGAGGGUCAGAAGUUGGGUAUUGUCUUUAUUUUUGAAGCGCUCUGUCUUUAAAGAGCGCACAUUUGUUCUUGAACUGUCUGAAUUCAAGCUGAAGGGACAAAAUUCUCCCCGAAUUAAGUCCUCUUGCAACUUGGUGAUAUAUACUUAUUUAGGGAAACAUGAGAGUUCCCUUUUGUUAAUUUUAUUUUAUGUAUUUUUUAUUUUUUAUUUUUUGUCUUUUUAGGGCCACACCUGCAGCAUAUGGAAGUUCCCAGCUGUGUCUGUGACCUACACUACAGCUCAGGAAAACACCCGAUCCUUAACCCACUAAGCAAGGCCAGGGAUUGAACCAGCAUCCUCGUGGAUACUAGUCAGGUUCAUAACCCGCUGAGAUACAAUGGGAAUUCCCCAUUUUGUUAAUUUUAUAACCUUAGUCUAUACUUCAGCAUUUAACAAACACAGUUUUGUUAAUGACCAUUUUUAGUCAUUCAUUCAUUCAUUCAUCCAUCCAUUCAUUCAUUCUAACCUCUCUGGAUUACACCAGGGAAAAAAACGAACAAAAAUGUCAAUGUGGAGCUUCAAUUCCAGUGCGUGAAGAAUAAACAUCAUAAAUAAGUAACAUAUACAGUAUGUUAGGUCCUAUGGAAAAAACAGAGAGAGACAGAGGAGAUCCGGAGAAGGCAGAUGCUAACUUUAGAUGAGGGUUGGGGGGACGGGGAUCUGGGUCCAUCUCACUGAGAAAGGGAUUUUUAGAGAAAGACUUGCAAAAGGAAAGUGGGUUGGUUCAGAGAAGGGUGUGACCCAGGCAGACAGAAUAAAGGGUGCCAGAGUCCUAAGGAGGUGGGGAGAAAGAGAGAGGGGACAGGUCCAGGACAACAGCGAAGCUCUAGCGAGUGGGCAAUGGGUCUGGGGUGGAGGAUGAAGUCAGGAGAGCAAGGGGGUAAGAUUACGUAGGGGCUUCUAGGCCUCCGGGGAGAUUUUGACUUUUCCUUUGAAAUGGGAGCCAUUAGAUCGCCCUGGCUGCCAUGUUGAGACUAGCUUGCCAUGGAUAAGAGAAGAAUCAAGAAGACCAGGUAAGAAGCAAUCGAGGUGCUUCUGGUGUAAGGUGCUUAGCUGGGGUGGCAGCAGAGAAAGGGGUGGGAGUGGUCAGGCUGAGUCCACUCUGGACAUGGCACUGACGGAGCUUGCUGAUGGUGGGAGGUGGGUGUGAGGGGAAGAGAGGAGACAAAGUUGAAGUCAUCCAAGGACUAGUGGGCUGAGCAAUGGGAAGGGUGGAGUUGCCAUCCACUGAGUUUGUAUUUCUCUGUUUCUGGAACUCAGUGGUAAACUUCUGGCAGACAGGAACCAGCAUCUUGUGUAUUCUGUAACCUUCAUACAAACAUGAUCAAAAUUAUGCUAAAUGUAAAAUGAAGUUUAAAGUUCCCCUUAUAGGGUCUUUUCUGGCCCACAGAGGGGUCUCAACGUUGACCUUGGGGCCAGCCAACCAAUGAUCGCUCUCCUUUCCAUGCUGUGUGGAACCCACUUGCUCCCCUGGUGGUGACUUUUGGGUGGCUACGGGGGUAGGUUUCUGCCUAUCUAGUCAAACUAUUAUUUAACCCUUCAUAUGGGUCCAGGUACUUUCCCGAACAGGAGAAUUUCUAGAGAGAGGGAUGGAGGCGGAGGGUGGGAAAUCAGCUCUCAUCCCCUUUAACCAUCUGGUUCUCUUCUUGCUGCAAGACUCCAACAAGGUGAACUUGACCCAGAGGAUACAAGGAAAACAUUUUUGAAGCUUUUUAUAGGGCCGGUUCAGUAAUGUAAAUGUCUGCUUCUGGCCAGGGAUAAACAAUAGGGAGUAAUUGGUACCGAUGCAGCAAACCAGAGUCCCAGGCAAUUGCUGCUGUGUAGAACUGGAGGUGCAAUAAACCAGGCAUGUGUGUGAGCCUAUUGCAGCCCAGGAACCCCUCCUUCCCCAGCCCUGGCCUGAGCAUCCGAGAAGUCCCUUUAAGACCUUCCCUUUCUUCUCAUUGUCCUGUUCUUCCCAGAGUCCUCUCUUGGAUCCAUUCAUUGUUGGUGCUCCUUAUGCACCAUCCUGCAUUAUUUCCACAUUCUUAUACCCCCUUAAGAAGUACCUGGGUCCUAGAUACUUUCAAGCCUCUAUGUCUUGCCAACUGUUUCUGUAAGUGCUGCAGGUGUUUGUCUAUUGCUAUCAAGUGCAUACCGUAAGUUAAAGAUACUUUAUUGCUACAAAAUGUUAACCAUCAUCUGAGCCUUCAGCAAGUUACAGUAGUAAUAUCAAUGAUUGCUGAUCACAGAUCACCUUAGCAAAUAUAAUAAUAAUGAAAAAGUUUGAGAAUUACCGAAAUGUAACACAGAGACACCUAGCGAGCCACUGCUGUAGGAAAAAAUGGCACUAAUAAACUCGCUGGAUGCCACAGCGUUGCCAUAAACCUUCAAUUUAUAAAAUUCAAUAUUGUCAAAGUGUAAUAAAAUGAGGUAUGCCUGUAUUUCAACAGUGCUUCUCCUUUAGGGUCUUUCCUUGUAAAUUACUGAAACCUCUAGGGGUUCAACCCAAAGGUUCUCACUUAGAUUAUUUACAUAAAGAUGUUCAUAAUCCCAUGGAAUAACAAAUCUUUAUUACAAAAUUGAGUUUCGUGUUUAGGAAUCUUUGGAGAAGGAAGUUUAAAUACCAAGAAAGAUAUAUUAAGAAAUAAAUUGUGGGAAGAUCGAGGGAAAUUGAGGGGAAAAAAAUCCACUGAUGAGCAUAUUUCAAUAGAGCUUUGACCUACUGGUAGCUCAUCUCUGCACAGCCUCUUCCCAUAGCCCUUCCUACAUGAGCGCCUCCUCCAGGAAGUGGGGCUGUUUGUUAUCAAGCACGUCCAUGUGUUCUUUCUCAGUAAACCAAAAGAUUUCCAAUUUAUCGGAGGGAUUUCAACUCUAGCAAAAUGUUCAGUGUCCCCAAAGCUAUUAAAUACUCUUCAUUAUUCUUAUAACGAUCAGUAGAACACCCUCAUUUAUGUUUAUUUUUUUCCAAAGAUAAAAAUUGGAGCAAUUGGAGGAGGGGGAGAGAUUCAUGGACACAAAUGGCUUGAUCUUUUCACCUGUUUCACCGGCUCUUUUUUUGAAUGUUGACUUAAUUUUAUACAUCUAGGUAUUCCCACUUCACCCAUUUUGUGGGUGCUUCAGGUGGCCCAAAUAGGAAGGGCCUAUUUAUCGAUUUUUUCUUCUGUGAAUGUGGCCACUGUCCUCUUAGCCUGUGAACAUAAGGUCUGCCGUCCUCUUGCUCUUACUGGUGGGGCAUGGGGGGGGGGUUGCACCCUGAAGAGGCAAAAAUCAUUUCAAAUCCCCUGAAGACCAAAAUAUCAAGAAUUAGAGGGCAGUGUAAUGGCUGGGAGAGGGAAGAAAGGACAGAAGCAAAUAGUUGACAGGUCUCUAAAACUUUAAUUUUCAGCCCAAAGAAUUUCUUGAAAGGCACCUUUGAGGGGGAGGGCUCAUUGAUUUUCUUUUCUUUUUUUUUGACUUUUUAGGGCAGCACAUGUGGUAUAUGGAAGUUCCCAGACUAGGGGUGGAAUCAGAACUGUAGCUGCUUGCCUACAACCACAGUCAAGCAAUGCCAGAUCCAAACUGUGUCUGUGACCUACACGGCAAUUCACAGCAACACUGGAUCCUUAACCCACUGAGCGAGGCCAGGGAUCGAACCCACAUCCUCAUGGAUCCUAGUUGGCUUCAUUACUGCUGAGCUUCAAAGGACACUCUCACUGAUUUUUUAAAAAUUUCCGUAGUUUCUUUCCAAGUCCUGCUUCUGUGACUGCUGCUGGAUGUCAACUCACAAGCGCAAAAGAGGUCACCAAGGUUCCCAAGGCUUUUCAGAGAACAAAAGGGAACCUGCUUCACACUGAUAAAUGACUUGCCUUAGCACCUGUAAGUCUGUUUCACAUUUCACGUCAACCUUUCUUCAUGGGCUGAUAACAGCAACUGAAAAUGAAUCCUGACAGCCUGUUGUGAUUUCACAGUAUCCAGCAGGAAAGCCCAGCUUAAUUGUGAGCAUAUGAUUUUUUUCUUUCAAGCACUGAAUUUUCUAUUGAGUCCACUGCUCUGAUAAAAUCUACUUAUUUAGCAGUUGCUAAUCAUUGGGGCAUUCAUUCUUUUUCUCCCAUGAUUCUAGCAAGUUGGAGUUUGCUUUCUAACAAGCCACUGAACUGCUCCAAGAAAAAAAAAAAAAAAAAA
rnacentral:lncRNA from 1 species